CCUCGUGAUCUGCCCGCCUCAGCCUCCCAAAGUGCUGGGAUUACGGGCGUGAGCCACCAUGCCUGGCCUACUUAUUUUUGAUAUAGGAUUUCUCUGUGUUGCCUAGGCUAGCGUGCGGUGGCACCAUCACGGCUCACUGCAGCCUCGAACUCCUGGGCUCAAGCGAUCUUCCUGCUUCAGCCACCUGAGUAGCUGGAACUACAGGCAUAUGUCACUACGCCCCAGGGUAGGAAGAGAGGAUCAGAAUAAGUCCUGAAGCUAAGAGAGGAGUUUCCAGAAGUAGAAGUCAACAGUCUCUACUAUAGCAGAGAGAAGAACUGAGAAAGAACUUUCUAUUUCCCAAUCUCUUCUCACAUCACCAACAAUCCCACUGAAUCCCUGAACGGGACGUUACAUUUGACAUUCUGAGAGAUUCUGCUCAAAAUGCUUUGGAACCAAACCAAGAAGUUCUUGGCAGCCAUCCUGGCCCUUUCCCCUCUUCUGUUAAAAAAAAAAAAAAGAAAGAAAAAGCUAUUUUUCUUCAGGAAAAGAAUGCAAAGAUCUUGUAGACCCAAUCAGAGUUAAAAUAAAAUUUCUGUGUUCUCACUAUAAUGUGUGCAGUGAUGUGUAAAUCCUGCUGGCAGAUCAUAUGGGGAUUGACAUAUAAAAAAGGAUGUCUUUAAAAUCAUAUAAAAAUCUCAUUGAACAUUGCAUGACGUUUGAUGGAU
rnacentral:lncRNA from 1 species